rnacentral:antisense_RNA from 1 species
GCGGCCGCUGGCGACACUAGGCGCACUGAAGCCCGAGCCGAGCCGAGCCCGAGCCGCCGCCGCCGCCGCCGCUGCUGCGCACCGCUCCCGGGCUCCCUCCCAGCGCGCCGGCCGGGGUGUGGGGGGCGGCGGGCCGGAGGGGCGAGGGCGGGCCAGGGGGCGCACACGGGGGUUGGCGCGGAAGACAGGACCCUCAGCCUCGAGGGAGCCCCUAGGUGACCAGGCAAAAUGGCAGUUCCCUCCAGCUGGUCCUCAGAUGGGCACAUCUAUUAGCCUCUGCUCUUGUAAGAAGUUAGCUGCAGAACCCACAUGUGAAUCCUUGUAGGACUCUGGAGAAGAUCAAAUGGGAGCUUAGAUGUGGAAGCUCUUUGGAAACCAAGAAACACUCUGCAAAUGAAAAGGGAACAGUUUGUGGACUUGCACUGGCCCUUGGACCACACUUCGAGUGACAUUGUUAUAGAUGACACGGUCUCUUAUAGGAAAAUGCACAGUCUUUCUUAGAUUCUCUACCUCCCUCUUCCAUCUCAUUCCCAACAUAGAUCUGGGUACAUGAGUGGGGUCUUAUUAUAAUCUUGUGACACCCUUGGAUCAUGCACUACCCUCUAAAUAAUCAAUAGUUUCUACUAUAGAGAGGCUCAAUUUAUCUUCUCCCUGGAAUUGGGACCACUGAAAUAUAACUAGAACCCAACUGAUCUUUUGAGAUGUUGUGUGCUUGCCCUUACUGCUACUGCCGUAGUUCUGAACAUUUCCCCAAGCAUCAAAAAGGCCCCAUGGCCUCUUUUCCCCUAGACCUCUGCCAGUCCACCAACACUCUCAGUGGGGAAGUAAGAAGCCUGGUGGAUCCUGCUUCCCACACAAAGGCCAUGAUGAGACAGAUGCUUUCUAAGUCCGAUAUAUCUACCCACUUUCUGCUGUCACCUCUGUACCUCCUGAGUCACACGGAAUGUGGUGCUGAGCCAAAUGGUCAGUCUUCUAGAAGCAGUGGAAUGUUGGAGGCAGCUUAUACCUUAGCUGAUUCUUAAAUUUUCAGGAAUUUUGUGAGCCAGUUUUUAAACACAGCCAUUGUUGAAAAUUAAACAAUAUAAACUUAUAAUCAAAUAUAUUAAAAAUAAAGAUAAU